AACUCUGGUUUCUCUUCGAAACUCAUAAAUCUUGUGCGUAUUACUAAAGAUUUCCGUGGUGGGGAAAUAAUUCAGUGCAGAGAUAAUAAUAAUAAGAAUAAUAAUUAUAUUAUUAU